GACGAACGCUGGCGGCGUGCCUAAUACAUGCAAGUCGAACGCUGAAGGACGACCUUGCUUCUCUGGAUGAGUGGCGAACGGGUGAGUAACGCGUAGGUAACCUGCCUGUUAGCGGGGGAUAACUUUUGGAAACUAUAGCUAAUACCGCAUAAGAGCACAUGUUGCAUGGCAUUUGCUUAAAAGUUGCAGUGGCAUCACUACCAGAUGCAGCUGCGUUGUAUUAUCUAGUGGGUGAGGUAACGGCUCACCAAGGCGGCGAUACAUAGCCGACCUGAGAGGGUGAGCGGCCACCCUGGGACUGAGACACGGCCCAGACUCCUAGGGGAGGCAGCAGUAGGGAAUCUUCGGCAAGGGACGGAAGUCUGACCGAGCAACGCCGCGUGAGGGAAGAAGGAUGUCGGAUCGGAAAGCUCGGUUGUAAGAGAAGAACGAGUGUGAGAGUGGAAAGUUCACACUGUGACGGUAUCUGACCAGAAAGGGACGGCUAACUACGUG
rnacentral:rRNA from 1 species